rnacentral:rRNA from 1 species
GGCGCGCGAUACAGGGUGACAGCCCCGUACACAAAAAUGCACAUGCUGUGAGCUCGAUGAGUAGGGCGGGACACGUGGUAUCCUGUCUGAAUAUGGGGGGACCAUCCUCCAAGGCUAAAUACUCCUGACUGACCGAUAGUGAACCAGUACCGUGAGGGAAAGGCGAAAAGAACCCCGGCGAGGGGAGUGAAAAAGAACCUGAAACCGUGUACGUACAAGCAGUGGGAGCACGCUUAGGCGUGUGACUGCGUACCUUUUGUAUAAUGGGUCAGCGACUUAUAUUCUGUAGCAAGGUUAACCGAAUAGGGGAGCCGAAGGGAAACCGAGUCUUAACUGGGCGUUAAGUUGCAGGGUAUAGACCCGAAACCCGGUGAUCUAGCCAUGGGCAGGUUGAAGGUUGGGUAACACUAACUGGAGGACCGAACCGACUAAUGUUGAAAAAUUAGCGGAUGACUUGUGGCUGGGGGUGAAAGGCCAAUCAAACCGGGAGAUAGCUGGUUCUCCCCGAAAGCUAUUUAGGUAGCGCCUCGUGAAUUCAUCUCCGGGGGUAGAGCACUGUUUCGGCAAGGGGGUCAUCCCGACUUACCAACCCGAUGCAAACUGCGAAUACCGGAGAAUGUUAUCACGGGAGACACACGGCGGGUGCUAACGUCCGUCGUGAAGAGGGAAACAACCCAGACCGCCAGCUAAGGUCCCAAAGUCAUGGUUAAGUGGGAAACGAUGUGGGAAGGCCCAGACAGCCAGGAUGUUGGCUUAGAAGCAGCCAUCAUUUAAAGAAAGCGUAAUAGCUCACUGGUCGAGUCGGCCUGCGCGGAAGAUGUAACGGGGCUAAACCAUGCACCGAAGCUGCGGCAGCGACGCUGAUGCGUUGUUGGGUAGGGGAGCGUUCUGUAAGCCUGC